ACCUACGGGGGGCAGCAGUGAGGAAUAUUGGUCAAUGGGCGGAAGCCUGAACCAGCCAAGUCGCGUGAGGGAAUAAGGCCCUACGGGUCGUAAACCUCUUUUGCCUGGGAGCAAGGGCGGGGACGUGUCCCGGCCCGGAGAGUACCCGGAGAAAAAGCAUCGGCUAACUCCGUGCCAGCAGCCGCGGUAAUACGGAGGAUCCGAGCGUUAUCCGGAUUUAUUGGGUUUAAAGGGAGCGUAGGUGGAUUGUUAAGUCAGUUGUGAAAGUUU
rnacentral:rRNA from 1 species